UGAACGCUGGCGGCAUGCCUUACACAUGCAAAUCGAACGGUAACGGGCCUUCGGGUGCCGACGAGUGGCGAACGGGUGAGUAAUACAUCGGAACGUGCCCGAUCGUGGGGGAUAACGAGGCGAAAGCUUUGCUAAUACCGCAUACGAUCUACGGAUGAAAGCAGGGGACCGCAAGGCCUUGCGCGGACGGAGCGGCCGAUGGCAGAUUAGGUAGUUGGUGGGAUAAAAGCUUACCAAGCCGACGAUCUGUAGCUGGUCUGAGAGGAUGAUCAGCCACACUGGGACUGAGACACGGCCCAGACUCCUACGGGAGGCAGCAGUGGGGAAUUUUGGACAAUGGGCGCAAGCCUGAUCCAGCCAUGCCGCGUGCAGGAUGAAGGCCUUCGGGUUGUAAACUGAUUUUGUACGGAACGAAAAGCCUUCUUUUAAUACAGGAGGGUCAUGACGGUACCGGAAGAAUAAGCACCGGCUAACUACGUG
rnacentral:rRNA from 1 species